rnacentral:rRNA from 1 species
AUGACCAUGGCCUUCAUGGUGAGCAGAACCCCAGCAAGACCAUGGCUGGUCUUCAAUCACGCUGUUAUGAUGACAUGGGCAUGGACCUGUAUGCUUCAUGGCGAGUGGCGCCCAAGUGUGGAUCAAGGGGAAGGCCAUGUCCCAGAUGAGCUGCCGGUGGCUCCUGGAGAUCACGACAGAUGCUGGUGGAUUGGUAGCGCCUCGAGGAGGAGGAAGCAGAGGUUUGAGCAGCGGCACUCGGCUUUGACAGCGCCAUCAAAGAAGAUCAAUAGCUAUGUGCUCAAUUCAUACUUUCUCUGUAACUUAAUGUAA